rnacentral:rRNA from 1 species
AACUGCGAGUGAAGCGGGAAAAGCUCAAAUUUAAAAUCUGGCGGUCUUUUGGCUGUCCGAGUUGUAAUUUAGAGAAGCGUCUUCCGCGCCGGACCGUGCACAAGUCUCCUGGAAUGGAGCGUCAUAGAGGGUGAGAAUCCCGUCUUUGGCAUGGACACCCGGGGCUUCUGUGAUGCGCUCUCGAAGAGUCGAGUUGUUUGGGAAUGCAGCUCAAAAUGGGUGGUGAACUCCAUCUAAAGCUAAAUAUUGGCGAGAGACCGAUAGCGAACAAGUACCGUGAGGGAAAGAUGAAAAGCACUUUGGAAAGAGAGUGAAACAGUACGUGAAAUUGUUGAAAGGGAAACGCUUGAAGUCAGUCGCGUUGACCGAGACUCAGCCUCGCCUCGGCUUGGCGUACUUCUCGGCUUGACGGGCCAGCAUCAAUUUUGUCUCUCGGAUAAUGGCAAGGGAAAGGUGGCACCUUUACCGGUGUGUUAUAGUCUUUUGUCGCAUGCGAGGGAUGGGAUUGAGGAACUCAGCAUGCGCCUCUUGGUGUCGGGGCUUCGGCCC